GACGAACGCUGGCGGCGUGCUUAACACAUGCAAGUCGAACGGAGAGGGCCGGCCUUUGUGGGGUGCUCGAGUGGCGAACGGGUGAGUAACACGUGAGUAACCUGCCCGUGAGUGGGGGAUAACUUCUGGAAACUGGGGCUAAUACCGCAUAGGAGCACCUGCUGCAUGGUGUGGGCUGGAAAGUUUCGGCGGUUGGGCAUGGACACGCGGCUUAUCAGCUUGUUGGUGGGGUAGUGGCUUACCCAGGCUUUGACGGGGAGCCGGCCUGGGAGGGUGACCGGCCCCAUUCGCCCUGAGGUGCCAGCCGGACUGCUUCGGCGGGCAGCAGCGGAGGUUUUUGCGAGCUGGGCGGCGGCCGUGUGGAGCAAUGCCGCGUCCUGGAUCACGGUCUUCGGGUUGUAACCCGCUUUCGAGUGUAAAGAAGAGUCAGUGACGGUAAUGGGUCAGGAAGCACCGGCUAACUACGUG
rnacentral:rRNA from 1 species